UUUAAUGCUUUUUAAGUUAAAACAGAUAUUAAUCCAAUUCCUGGUUCUGUGUAAGAAUACAUAUCAAACAUUAUGGUAUAGUAUUUGAAAUCACAGUGUGCUUUUGAUUCAUUGUGAUUAAAUGUUUCUGUCAAAGGUAGAGACAGAGUUCAAAAGGCAGCCAGCCAAGUGGAGGAGCACGGAGCAGAAGAGGAUUGAGGCAGAGGAGCGAUGCAUCAUUAAGUCUGUGAGGCAGCAGCAGCGCAUGGAGGAGACUAGAAUGGAUCGGGCAAGAGAACGGGAAGAAGCCAAGGAACAUCGGCAUCAAAUGCUGUGUGAGAAGAUGGAAGAGGAGAAGAAACAGUGUGAAGAGAUGGAGCACAUCCAUCAGGAUCUUCAUUUAGAGGCAAACAGACAUUGAGGAGAUGGAGUAGAUGAUCAGACAGAGGCUGAUGAUGCAGCAGACCCUCCAGGAGAAGCUGGCAUUUAAAGAGAUGCAGAAGCAGCAGGAAAAAGAGGAAGGGGAGGCCUUCAGAAAAACUACAAUGGCCAAGUUUGAAGAGGACGAUCGGAUCAAGCAGAUGAAUGACCGGAAACAGCGCAUGAAGCAGCUGGAACACUUCUUAAGGAACUUUUCCGUAAAGAUGACCUGCAUCACAUCGAUGAAGAUUUCAGAAAUGUUCUCUGAGUAGGCCAACUGAGGUUUCUCCUUCAGUUGGCCCCUAGAGGGCAGUUUAAGGCUGAUGGGAAUGUGUUUCAGAUUUAUAGACUAUUUUUUUUUUUUUCUCUUCAUUGUACACAGAACUUGCUUAAGUUUGGACAGUUUAGCAGCUUAUAUAUUACAAUAUGUUUAUAGCGACGUGUUUGUUUCAUUAAUAAUUACAUUAAAUACAAAAAUAAAUUUUGUAUUUUUUAACGUGUCCUUAAAUUCUUAAACUACAAACUGAGAUCCUUUACACUAUAGCAGAUGUAUCGUUACAAAGCAUCUGCACACAGAACCCUGAAUUAGGCCAAACAAAAAGCAGCACAGAUGAACACAGUAAAAUAAAGCUGAUUACUCUUCAUCUGUUGACUGUAGAUUCUUGAAACCCACAAGUUCUGGUUCUUGAGAAUUUGGUUUUAAGAGAAAAGAUCCUCUUCACUUAU